CCUACGGGAGGCAGCAGUAAGGAAUAUUGGUCAAUGGACGAAAGUCUGAACCAGCCAUGCCGCGUGAAGGAUGAAGGCCCUCUGGGUUGUAAACUUCUUUUAUCUGGGACGAAAAAAGCUCAUUCUUGAGCACUUGACGGUACCAGAGGAAUAAGCACCGGCUAACUCCGUGCCAGCAGCCGCGGUAAUACGGAGGGUGCAAGCGUUAUCCGGAUUCACUGGGUUUAAAGGGUGCGUAGGUGGGUCUGUAAGUCAGUGGUGAAAUCUCCGGGCUUAACUCGGAAACUGCCAUUGAUACUAUAGGUCUUGAAUCAUCUGGAGGUAAGCGGAAUAUGUCAUGUAGCGGUGAAAUGCUUAGAUAUGACAUAGAACACCAAUUGCGAAGGCAGCUUACUACGGGUGUAUUGACACUGAGGCACGAAAGCGUGGGGAUCAAACAGGAUUAGAUACCCUGGUAGUCCACGCCCUAAACGAUGGAUACUCGACAUCAGCGAUACACUGUUGGUGUCUGAGCGAAAGCAUUAAGUAUCCCACCUGGGAAGUACGACCGCAAGGUUGAAACUUAAAGGAAUUGACGGCUGAGACGAGCGAGACGACGACGAGGGAGGAGG
rnacentral:rRNA from 1 species